rnacentral:lncRNA from 1 species
CAUCUCCCUCCUAAGAAUUGUCCUUGCCAGUAGAAAUACAUAAAGACUGACACUAUACCUUCAAGGCUGAUGGACUAGGGAGCACAGUGGUCAUGGCCAAGAAACAGAAUACU